GAGUGAACGCUGGCGGUAGGCCUAACACAUGCAAGUCGAACGGCAGCACAGUAAGAGCUUGCUCUUACGGGUGGCGAGUGGCGGACGGGUGAGGAAUACAUCGGAAUCUACUUUUUCGUGGGGGAUAACGUAGGGAAACUUACGCUAAUACCGCAUACGACCUACGGGUGAAAGCAGGGGAUCUUCGGACCUUGCGCGAUUGAAUGAGCCGAUGUCGGAUUAGCUAGUUGGCGGGGUAAAGGCCCACCAAGGCGACGAUCCGUAGCUGGUCUGAGAGGAUGAUCAGCCACACUGGAACUGAGACACGGUCCAGACUCCUACGGGAGGCAGCGGUGGGGAAUAUUGGACAAUGGGCGCAAGCCUGAUCCAGCCAUACCGCGUGGGUGAAGAAGGCCUUCGGGUUGUAAAGCCCUUUUGUUGGGAAAGAAAAGCAGCAGGUUAAUACCCCGCUGUUCUGACGGUACCCAAAGAAUAAGCACCGGCUAACUUCGUG
rnacentral:rRNA from 1 species